UAUCGCCUGAGGUGUGCGUUGUUUGUUACGUCCCUGAGCCGAUAUUUAAAACUCCUUGAGUUGAAUUGCUCAUUGUUGGUGAGCAGGCUCGCUUGCGAGAAGCCUAAAAACGAUGUUAUUCGACUCCCUUGAACCAACUGGUUCAAGGACCACAACAGAUAGCGGCACUUCGGGUCUUGU
rnacentral:other from 1 species